CAGCUACUUCCCCAGCUGUGCUCUGCAUUUAAAUAACAGCUUCCUGCUGCUCAGAGCGAAUUGCCUCUGACUGAGAGACCAGAACUCUGAGGAGAGCAGACAUGAGGCAAGAAGCAAUUUCCAGCAGAUGUACUGUGCAUCUUCAUGGUCUCCUCAGGACAGCUUCCUCAGAGAAGUGACACCAGUGCUACUUCCAGUUCUAUCCCUUGUCCCAGCCUUAUGACUCCUCUGAACUUGAACUCUUGAAUAUUGGUUGGAUUUGCAUGCCAUGCCUGUUCUAAAUUGCGUGCAGCCUGGGACAGCAAAGAUGUUUUAUCUAGGGUGACAAAUUGCUGUGUAAAGUUACAGCGAGACAUGAAGAGAACAACCACCCUAAUGGUACUGCAAUCUGGGAGACACAAUGUGCCGCGGAGAAGAGGCAAAGAAAACAAAGAAACUCCAGGCUGAUGUGCAGAAGGGCAGGAAAAAAUUGCCUUCCAGAUGAAAUAUGUGGCAAGAAAAGCUAUAUUUCCAAACAAUUUCAAAGAAAUAAUUUUGUAAGUUAUUUGUCACUCUGCUGCACAAAAUGAUCAGACACACUGUCCAAUCAACAGCAAACCAGAAACUAACAGGUAUGAAAAUGUUCUGUUUUAUCUAACUAUUUUUCCAGUGAUCCAGAUUUACUGUGAGUAAAUUUACUGCGUCUCACUGCUGGGAUGCAGCUCUCAUCUACAGAGCUGUCACAGUGAUGGCUCCCAGCACUUUGGGUUUUAACCAUUAAAACUAUUUUUAUGAUGUUCAAAAUACUUCAGAAACAACUGCUGUUAUUGCCUAAUUUUUGCGCCUAAUUACUGUGGCAGUGGGCAGUUUAUGAAGAUCUGUGAUGGUGAUGAGAAUUCAUUUACUCUAACCUCUCAUUUUCAAUUACAAAUAAUGCUGUGUGGAGAUCAUUUUACCCAGAGAAGGUCUGGUGUAAUUCAAAACACCCCCCACAUCCUUAGGAUGCUGCAGCCACUCUGAAGUGUCUGACACUACUGGUGCUUUAUGGAAAAAUGUAUUUCAGAAAAUAGCUGGGGAGAGGUGCCCACAGAGGUACUGCAGAAUUUUAUUUCCCACGCCUAGGCUGUCUGGUGGAUGUUUGUGAGGUGUUUCACAGGGCUGUGAGCUCUUUGAUGGCUUUGGAGGUGUUUGAGCAGCACCCAAAGCCAUGGGGCUUUCUGGCCUGAGGGGACCUCUGCAAAGUUCAUCUGUGCAAGUGAAUAUUGAGAAUACUGGUCUGGUAUCAAAAUCAAAGGCAUUUUCAAUUUGUUCUUCUCACACAAAUGAGGUGCAUUCCAGAGGCACACGAUGAUUUGCCAUGGAGGUCAUCAGAUGGCCAAAACCUGUUUCUCUUGAAAGAACCAAAUUUCCUUUCCACACUGUAUUCUGCCUGUGCUCUGGGGAUGCCUCCUGUGUUGGGAUGCUGUGGGGAAAAUGUGUCUGGGGGGGAAGCUUGCUGUGUGCCCAUGAUACAGGCUUUGGUAGCAUCUGCAUGACCUGCUCAAAGCAUCAGGACCUCUGUGCACCCUUUCAAGCUGUGCAUCAUGGGCUUGUGCCAGCAAAGAUUGUAUUUCUUGCCUUGUCCAGACAUGCUAAUGAGGCACUCUGACAGGGCAUACCUUUAGAGAUGUGAAAGAAAAUAGCAGAGGGAGAUGGAAGGCAAAGCAUCAUUUUGGAAGCAUGAGAACUUCUGAAACAUUAAUCUGGUGAAUAACUCCCUGCCAAGAGAAUUUCACUAAACCACUGAUCUGAAUCAUGUCACAGAUGGCAUCGUCUUCCAAAGUGUUAGCAAAACACAGGGCUCAACCUUCAGUGCCCCUGCAUUGCUAUUUCUGAUCCAGCACAACAACACGCCUGCAAAAGACAGAGCUUUUAAUAACUGCAAGUCAGGAAAAAAAAAAUAACCAGCCCUGUUUGGGAUCUGAAUAGCUGCCUUGCAGAAGGAGAAUUGCCCAUUUUGCUCAGUGCAGCAGUGAAGAUGGGCUCAGAGCAUACAGAGUACCACAUGCUCUGAUAGACUGCGAGAUCCGCCACGGCGCGUUUUUAUAAAUGUAAAAUCUCGACUGGCAUUUCCGAGUGGGAGGUGCUAGGCUUGAUAAAGUAGGACCAGUCAUGGCACAAAUGAAAGAGGAGGAAGGGAUUGCGUGUCAGCCAGCAGCCUCCAUUUAUGGCUUUUCAUGGCUGCAAGAAGAAUUUAGGCUUGAAUCAUUGUUUUAAAUACUAAAACCAGCAUGAGCUGAUGCCAGGAUGGAUAAAUAGUAGUGCUCCUGGGCAUGUAGUCUCUGGUGCCAGAAGCUACAUCUGUAUUAUGUCAGCCAAUGACCUUUUCAGCACCUGAAUUUAGGUGCCCAUCCUGGCUGUGUAUCACCUGCUCAAUCAGAAGAGAUUAGUGGUCUCCACCUCCUUACCCCUGAUUUCCAUGCAGGAGGACAUGCUAGCUCCAGGUCAUAUCCAUGGGUGGGAGCUCAUUUGGGCGGCUAGGACCCUGAGGAGAGCCACAGCACACAUCCAAGGCAUGCAGCACCUCUCCCAGGCACCUGGAGCCUGGCAGCCUGACCUCAGCUGGAGUUUCACAGGAACAAGAGCUGAGAUUUCCUCACCCUGCUUUCCCAAGGAGGGACAGGCCUCCCAAGGGACUGGUACCUGUCUCUGGAGCUUUGCCCUGUCAUCUCCUGAGCUACCACUGAGAAAUCUUUACAAAGGAUGGUCAGCUUCUGUCAGACAUCUUUCUAACCACCACCACCACCCCUGCUAGGAAAAAGAUGUUAAAAGCACAGUGCUAAAGAUUGUGAAAGCAUGCCCUCCACAAGGAGGAAGACGGUGGAGGAGAGCCAGAAUGAUGGUGGCCUUGUGCAAUCUGAUUUUGGGCCCCAUGAGUGUCCAACUUGCCUGCUCCUUUAGCCCCUGGAGCCCUGCCUCUCUUAGUGCACAGACUGCAGCUGUGGAGGGGUGAACAGCAAAGCAUGAGGACAGAGGGGGCUGCUGCCAGCUGACCUCUGCUCCUUUCUUUGGAGGAGAUGGAAAGUGUGUAACAGUUGAUGUGGAGGCUGAAAGAAGGUCCUGUCUCACUGAGAAGACACCAAGGUUCUGUCCCAGAGAACUGGACUUUCUCCCUGCCUGUGGUGACAUGUACCUGUGGGAUAUCAUGGACAUCAUUAAGAUUUGUAGGUAAUCACUGCCUCUGUGUGCUCUCAUUGCCCAGUGCCCAUCUUGAAAUCAAAGGGGUGCAGUGACAGAAAUCAGCAAGAGCCCUGAUUCUCCAUGCACUGUGCCAGUAUGCUGGUCUUUGGGUAGGCAGACCCUGGGCAGCACAAAGGGGGUGUCAGAAAUAGUUGCUUUUUCUCACCAGGUGAGCUGGUGAUUAUAAAUGCAGGAGUUGCUGUAAGCACUUCAGCGUUACAAUGGCAUUCUAGAAGAACAUAAGAGGAAAUUAAUAGGACCAGAGUAACCAGAUUUGAAUAGCAUGUCUUACAAAAGGCUGAGGAAUCCAUCAGCCCUAGGCAAGACCUCUCACAAAGAUGUCAGCCCAGCCAGUUAAAGUCAGGCAGCGUUAGAAGAAACUGAAGGUAAUGCCAACCUGCAUAACAGACACUGCUGCCACCUAUCACAGUAAUGAGAGUUCAUAAAGAAAAGCCCAUCUCAGUGCCUUCCAGAAGGAUUUCCUUUAGCAGACAGCUGGGCACCUGGGCUGAUUAAACACAGAUACAAGUUUGAACAACUGGAACAGCCUAUCAUGUUUUGUUGCACCCAGGCAGUUCAAGAUGCAGCAAACACAUCCAGUCCAUUUUUAGCUCAGCUCUGAAUGUAUGCACCCUGUGAGACAGCUAAACAUUUAGUCCCUGCAAUGAACACAGUGCAUCACACAACACAUCAGAAAUCCUUCCAUGGGAAUGGGCACCCUGGGUGGGAACAGCAUCCUGCAACCUCUGCCAUGAGACAGCAAGAGGCAGUAUGCACAGAUUGGCUGUCACCCCAUCCUGCAGGCUGAUGGAGAAAAGCAGGACAGUGCCACUUACUCUUGGUUAGAAGACAGGAGCUGCCACAGGGUUUCCUCUGUGCUGAAGGAGUACCUCAAAGCAGGACUUGGCCAUGAGUGUGUCUACACUUGGAUCUGCAUUGCAGUACAGCUGUGAUGCUUCCUGGCUGCCCAGAGCCUCAAGCACAGCCCUGUCCCUCCCAGCAAUACGUUGGUGAGGUUCUAAUACCUUUUCACUGGUUUGAAAAUCAGCCACUGCCAGUCUCAGUUAAGGCACUGCCAGAUGGAGUUGGGGCUGAGCUUGUGAUUUUGAUCUGCAAUUGCCUGGUGACUUGUCGAAAGCAGUAAGAGUCACCAGGAAAAGAGCUGGAGUGAAACCUUGCAGACACUGGGCUUAUAGGCAGGGAGCUCUUCAGACCUCACUUCUGCCCACAGAAAGAUUUUGUUUGGCUCUCACAGUGAUCUGGGUCCCAGUUCCCUCCCUCAGGACCCCACUGCCACCCUGACUAACCAUGUAAAUCUCAGCAAAACUGGCUUCUAACACCAAGCUUUUUGUAAUGUCCUACUUUAGGGGCUCAAGCAACAGUGGGACAAUCUAGGGAAAAGAGAGGGCCAGUGCAAUUAAGUGAAGGGAUACCAGAGGCAGGGAAGGUUUAAACUCCUCUCCUUGUGAAUCUUUGUAAAGCUGGAACUGAGGCAAAGCCCUGAUUCCUCAAAUCACCCAACACCUGGAAGCUACUGGCAGGCUCACAGCACAGGCAAAAUUAUUCCAGUUUUACUGCUAUUAUCAUCACCAGUCCUACCAAACAAGCAGUGAUGGAAGAAAAGCAUCAUCCAAGGAAUGGUGUCCACCAUGCAUUUGUACACAAUAUGGCUUUAAUGUCACUCAAAGGCUAGCCUGACAAAUAAAGGGCAUGAGAUGUGCUCCAACAUGUGCUGGCAGGAGCAGUUGGAGAAGACCAGCUACAGAAGCUCAUCAAGAAAUGCAAAAGGCACAAACUGCUAUCUAAGGUAUCUGUGAGACCUUCCUUUCUGAAGAGGUUUUUUUCCUUUAAUGCUCAUUAUUUCUGAGAGCCUGUGGGCUCUGUAGCAGAUUGUACCGAUGUUUUAAAGUUGACUACUUGAUCAUUCUAAUUAGGAUCCUGUGGAUUUUCAGUGUUGCUAGUUAAGUGAAUUUCAGUGCAUUUGCAGUUAUACCAGCUGAGUACCACUGGAUUUCUUGGUGUGCAGUGGUCAGGUAGCUCAGCUGAGCCAGUGUUACUCACAGGGGGCACCACCUUCUUUGAGCUGGCAGCAGAAGCAUCACAACAUUUGAUAAAUAAGCCCACAUUCGUAUGCCAGAGUAUGACUCCAGAAUUUGCUUGGCAUUUGAUUAGCACUUCAGAAGGCUAUUGCCAUGGAUUUGCCAGUCUCUGGAUUCAUGAAAUUUGCUAGGAAUUCCUAUCUGAGACAGGAGAGCACCUGAAAACUAGUGCUAUGUCAAAGCAACUUUGUGGGGAGUGUCCAUCACCUGCUAAACAUGGCAGGUUUUCAAACGUUCUUGAGAAUAAACAGUGUUGAUUUUAAUCUAGAAAGGGAUGCCUUAUAGAGGCUUAGUGCCUGAAUGCCUUGCAGUCUUUGAUUGGUGCCGAGAUGUAAGCAGAGGCAAGGUGAAAUCUCAGAAGCAAUAUUCACAUGCAAACCUUGUAAUACACAGUGUUCUCAGGGCAGGGUGGGGGAAUGUAAAUUCCAAAUAUGUGUAAAUGAAAAACAAACAAACAUGAGAAUGGGGAAAGGAGAUUUAAAAUGUAGAAGUGGACUCCUCUGUCCAAGGAUUUCACCUGUGCUGCUGCUACUGGCCCAUUGCUCUAGGUAGCAGGAGCAAGGCUUCUAGCUGCCAGUCGACCAUUUUCUUUUUGAUAAUUAUUCACAUUGCUGUAGAAACGGAAAUUAUCUCUAUUUUCUCACUUCCCAAUUGAAAACUGUAAUUGCAGCUGCUCCCUCCUCCUUGUUUGGAAGUUUUGCAUGCAGAGAGUCAUCAGCCAGGCUUGCCUUAAAUCAAAUCUUCCCAUGCAGCCUGGGUUAUAAUCUAGUGAGCACAGCAGCUGCCUAUUCGAAGCAAGGAGAAAAGCAGCACAUUUCUCCAGCCACUGGCUAGGAAAUUCUUGCUAAAAGAAAGGGGCUAUGCCUUGUCUGAUUCCUUUAUGGAAACGUAAAGGAGUCAGCUUCCUGAGGGCUUUCACAGAUAUUGCUAAUCAUCUUAAAUUGAAACAGGACUUCCAAAACCAGCAUGUAAAUCCCCGUAACACACCUUCAAUUUCUGUCUCCAAGGCUACCCAGCUGUCCUGAUCCUCCAUGACAAGCUCUGGAAAUGCAGUGAUACUUCCUUUUCCACUCGUCCUUCCCUGCUCCUCAAUCCCCCCUGCUCUGAAGUCAUCUUGCUUGCAUGAAACACCACUCCACAGCAUGGUGGUGGGUGAGGAGCUGGCCUCAAAGCCCAUGGGGAGUCUGAGUGGCAGGAAAUGUACAGGCUCUCAUCCCUUCCACCAACUGAGAAAUGCUGUUUCCCUCAGGGAUACAAGGAAAUAGCCAGAGCCCCCAUGCAGACUUGCCCAGCUUUGCUCACUCAUCUGUGCAAGGGCUGGAGUGGAGGUGUCCUUAAAACAAUGCUAAUGGGAUUUAUUCACGCUGUUUUUAUCAAUCCUUCUUAUUCUGCUAAAAGACAUGCAGUUCAUGAAUAACAGCCACUACUCCCCAGUCACAGAAGUGCAUUUUGAGGGACACAGUGUGUGUAGCCUCAUUGAACAUUUUCCAGUGACUUUAUAUGCACACACUGCGCUCUCACAGAGAGCCAAAAUCUGCCCUCUUCUGAAGUCCCUUGGGUCUAAAUUAGAGAGACUUUCAUAUAUCGUGAUUUGAAUCUGAAUGUGUUUCCUUGCUUGCAGUCCCUGCAGUCAGAGAGUAGGCAAGGGGACUUUGCUGUGGUUUACCUUGUGACUUCUGGGGCUUUUGGGGUGUCUUGAAGAACCACAGGAUCAGCAGCCAUCAUUCUGCCAACACAGGAGCACCUUCUAACAGUGCCCAUCUCCCAGGAUGCAAGAUUUGCCAAGGCACAGGUGUACGGAGCAUCCCACAGAGAGCAGGAGCCCUCAGCUGCCAGCUCAGCUGAAGGUCUGCGGUGAGGUACAGCUUCUCUGAGUUACUUCUCUGACCAUUAUCCAAGACUCACAGAAGAUGUGCUGGAUGAGCUGAUGAGCCUUUUGUACUGCAGAUCUCCUCAAAACGCUGCAGGGUCAACAGCACAGUGCCAAACUAGAAUCAAUGAGGCCUUACGCAGACACUCAAGAAUAACAAGUCAACCUGCAAGAUUUGCAGGCAGACUCUAACAGCUUGUUAUCUGAUGUCCCCUGGGCACAAACACGGAGACAUCUGCAGUUCUUGACCUUUUUUUUGUCUCUGCUGGCUCAAUAGCUAGUUAGCUGGUCAUUCGAUGUGAAAACAAAACAGAGGAAAGGAGAGCAAAUUGCAAUAGGCAGAAGAUGCCGAACUAUUAGGAUGCCAAAAGGACUGGAAAUAUAUAAGUACAGAGGUUGCUUUGCUCUCCUUUAUUAUUUGUGCAUUAAGCUCUCUGAGUUGGUUUUUGGAACUCUGUUAAAAGCAGGGUUUUCAAUAUGCCAGUUGUCACUGAACUUUUAUGUUGGUUUUAUUUUGCAUGUAUUUUGCAUCUCUAUUCUCUUUGCUUGGCACUGCAAGUUAGAAAUUAACCUGAAAAACACACGUUGAGACUUCAUUGACUUUCCCAGACUAUUUUUUUUUUUUGUCUGAGAACACAAAGCUCUCUUCAUAGCAUCUCCUCUAGUCCCACCAAGGGGAGGGAAGAUCCCCAGAAGACUGACUUCUGGAUCCUACUUUGUACUGAGAUCUCAGUUCCUUGGAAUGCAGUGACUGCACUAGCUUAUAUGCACGGGGGGUGUGGAGCCUCCUUCCUGUUUCUAGGCUCUUGUUAAUAAAGAGUGUGCCCACAUUCUCAGACAGGGCCCUAAUCACCAGCCUUAGCCUAAUCUCUUAAUUAAUUCCUGUUAAUGCAAAUGGACUCGAAAAGAUUCUUUUAGCCGUAGUGUUCAAGAAAUUAGAAGUCCUUUUUUGAAGAGACAGUGUGUUUCUUCUUUCAUGGUCUGGUAUAAUGACAGCACUGUCAUGCUGUAUGAGAAGGAUUUCCCACUUCCUAUGGUGCUCACUUAUCAUCCUUGGAUUAUAGAUUAUUUUAAAUCAACUCAGGAUAAUGGGUGACAGCUCAGUGUGUAUUAUGUGUAGCAUUCCAGUCUAGCAUAGGCAGAGACCUCCUGGCCUCUUGUUUCCAUAAUUUCUGUGCCUCAGAACAGCCUAAAGUCAAGGUUGGGUUACACAUCUUGUGUAAUAUGUGAAGUUCUGGGACCUGCCAAAGAAAUGCACUGUUCCUGCUUCUGAUUUAAUCUGAUUUAUUCUCAUCACAUGGAUGUCCUGCAAUCAAGGUCAGAAAAGGAUUUGAGCCUGUUUCUGAUGUAGGAAGACAGCAGUCUCACAAGUGAAAAACACAAAGAAGAGCUAAGUUCAGAUUGACCUUACUGAAAAAAAAGCAAGCUCCCAAAAUGGAGUGCAACUGGUCAAUAUCAUGAGAGUGAAUCUGGACCAGGGUAAGAAUUGUAGAAUUGUACCUGCCCAUGUUAUAAGCAGAGACUCCCCUCUCUCGUGACUUCAAUUUUCCCUAGGAGAAUCCAUAUAAAAACAAAUAAAUGCCAAGAGAAAUGUUUCUAUUGUUUUCCUUCUCUGUAUCUAAUGAAAUCUGUUCCUUUAAAACAGAGCAAUAUCCUCCCCUAUGAUUUUUUGCAGUCACAUCGCAGAAAGAGAGAAAACCUGAAAGCAAAAUUGACUCCUUUUGAUUUCUCCUAGUUCAAGAGAGGAGACAUGCCAGUGGGAAGGAGAAUAAAAAUCACACUGAGUAAAUCAGGAUUUUAAACUGCCUCUAAUGAUCAACAGCAAUUAUACAAAUAUUUAUUUCUGGUUUUAUAGUUUAUUUGUGUUAAGGCUGACAGCAGAUUUUAAAUUUGAUAUUCAGUCUUCCUUAUUAAAAAAAAGGCAUCUUUUAGAUUGGUUAUUUAAUUAUUUACUUCUGUAGGAGUUCAGAGUGUAAGUUGUUGGGGGGAUAAUUUUGUCAUGUAUUUUCUGCUCCUUAAUUCUUUGGUUACUUAGGUACUACAGAUCAAAUCCCGUCUGCACUCAAGUUGACAAGAAAAUGUCCAGUAGUUUGAAGAGGGUGUUGAUUUUAUCCUUACUGUUCCUGCCCUAGUGGGAGCUGCCAUAACAUCUAACAUCAGAUCUUUAACAUCUCUCCAGCGCUUUGAAGUGCAGCCCCUCAUAUUUCAUUCACCAUUUCAACCAAGAAGCAACAGAGGGACUGCAGCCCUGCUGCUGGAAGUGCAGGAGGGAGGCGGGAGGUAGGAGGAUGUGUCAUUUAUUGCUUAACAGGUUGGAUAACCUUUUUGCAUGUGGCUUGCUCAUGUGGCGACAGCGACAUGAUGUGCAACCCACAGCCACAGGCAGCUUUUUGCAACCUGCCUGUUUUGCAGCUAUUAUGGCUCUAACCCGUGAGACCAUCAGUCAUCUAGAGAGAUGCUGGUAAAUCUGUGCAUAUGCACGGAAAUAUCACGACACAUGGGGGUUUUCUUUGUGUGUUUAGUGCUCAAAAGUUCCAACAAAUUUCAACAAGAGCUCAACACAUAGUGUGUCUAUGAGAGCUUAAGUAGUUAGGAGCCCAAGCUCAGGCAGUCAGAUUUGAAAAAUCUAGUCAGUCUUAGAAAGAUGUGCUCUGUUGAAAGGAAUCUAGUCUAAAGAUGUUCAUGAAGCUUGAGUUUAUGUUGUAAAGAAACCUGUAGCGUGUGGUGUGCUUUUUACUUUUCCUGGAUUUCAUUAUGCCUUCCUGCCUCACAGAACAGCUGUAACAUUAAACCCAUUGAAAUUUGUAAAGUGCUUAGAAAUCCACUGAAGGGAAACUGUAGAGGAGUAAAAGGUACUCAAUUUUCAUUGCUGUUCUAUCAAGCAAGAGAGUUUCCAGAGUGUCUUAAUAAUAAAUAAGAAUAAAUAACUGCAAGUGUAGAAUCUAUUCUAUGCUCAUUAAUAGGUACCUUUGGGUCUGUGGUUGAGGAGAAUUUCUUUUAAGGAGAAGGUAUAGAUUAGAGUAUAGAUUUGAAGAUUGGAAUUCAGAUUUCAAUAUCUUCACUGCCAUGUCUUGAAG